rnacentral:rRNA from 1 species
CCUACGGGAGGCAGCAGUGAGGAAUAUUGGUCAAUGGGCGCGAGCCUGAACCAGCCAAGUAGCGUGAAGGAUGACUGCCCUACGGGUUGUAAACUUCUUUUAUAAAGGAAUAAAGUGAGGCACGUGUGCCUUUUUGUAUGUACUUUAUGAAUAAGGAACGGCUAACUCCGUUCCAGCAGCCGCGGUAAUACGGAGGAUCCGAGCGUUAUCCGGAUUUAUUGGGUUUAAAGGGAGCGUAGAUGGGUUGUUAAGUCAGUUGUGAAAGGUUGGGGCUUAACCUUAAAAUUGCAAUUGAUACUGGCAGGCUUGAGUACAGUUGAGGUAGGCGGAAUUCGUGGUGUAGCGGUGAAAUGCGUAGAGAUGACGAAGAACUCCGAUUGCGAAGGCAGCCUACUAAACUGCCACUGACAUUGAUGCGCGAAAGUGUGGGUAUCAAACAGGAUUAGAUACCCCAGUAGUC